AGCUUGCUGGGGGAUUAGUGGCGAACGGGUGAGUAACACGUGAGUAACCUGCCCUUGACUCUGGGAUAAGCCUGGGAAACUGGGUCUAAUACCGGAUACGACUCCUCAUCGCAUGGUGGGGGGUGGAAAGCUUUUGUGGUUUUGGAUGGACUCGCGGCCUAUCAGCUUGUUGGUGGGGUAAUGGCCUACCAAGGCGACGACGGGUAGCCGGCCUGAGAGGGUGACCGGCCACACUGGGACUGAGACACGGCCCAGACUCCUACGGGAGGCAGCAGUGGGGAAUAUUGCACAAUGGGCGGAAGCCUGAUGCAGCGACGCCGCGUGAGGGAUGACGGCCUUCGGGUUGUAAACCUCUUUCAGUAGGGAAGAAGCGAAAGUGACGGUACCUGCAGAAGAAGCGCCGGCUAACUACGUGCCAGCAGCCGCGGUAAUACGUAGGGCGCAAGCGUUAUCCGGAAUUAUUGGGCGUAAAGAGCUCGUAGGCGGUUUGUCGCGUCUGCUGUGAAAGACCGGGGCUCAACUCCGGUUCUGCAGUGGGUACGGGCAGACUAGAGUGCAGUAGGGGAGACUGGAAUUCCUGGUGUAGCGGUGAAAUGCGCAGAUAUCAGGAGGAACACCGAUGGCGAAGGCAGGUCUCUGGGCUGUAACUGACGCUGAGGAGCGAAAGCAUGGGGAGCGAACAGGAUUAGAUACCCUGGUAGUCCAUGCCGUAAACGUUGGGCACUAGGUGUGGGGGACAUUCCACGUUUUCCGCGCCGUAGCUAACGCAUUAAGUGCCCCGCCUGGGGAGUACGGCCGCAAGGCUAAAACUCAAAGGAAUUGACGGGGGCCCGCACAAGCGGCGGAGCAUGCGGAUUAAUUCGAUGCAACGCGAAGAACCUUACCAAGGCUUGACAUGAACCGGAAAGACCUGGAAACAGGUGCCCCGCUUGCGGUCGGUUUACAGGUGGUGCAUGGUUGUCGUCAGCUCGUGUCGUGAGAUGUUGGGUUAAGUCCCGCAACGAGCGCAACCCUCGUUCUAUGUUGCCAGCGCGUUAUGGCGGGGACUCAUAGGAGACUGCCGGGGUCAACUCGGAGGAAGGUGGGGACGACGUCAAAUCAUCAUGCCCCUUAUGUCUUGGGCUUCACGCAUGCUACAAUGGCCGGUACAAAGGGUUGCGAUACUGUGAGGUGGAGCUAAUCCCAAAAAGCCGGUCUCAGUUCGGAUUGGGGUCUGCAACUCGACCCCAUGAAGUCGGAGUCGCUAGUAAUCGCAGAUCAGCAACGCUGCGGUGAAUACGUUCCCGGGCCUUGUACACAC
rnacentral:rRNA from 1 species